rnacentral:rRNA from 1 species
AGUGAACGCUGGCGGUAGGCUUAACACAUGCAAGUCGAACGGCAGCACAGUAAGAGCUUGCUCUUACGGGUGGCGAGUGGCGGACGGGUGAGGAAUACAUCGGAAUCUACUUUUUCGUGGGGGAUCACGUAGGGAAACUUACGCUAAUACCGCAUACGACCUACGGGUGAAAGCAGGGGAUCUUCGGACCUUGCGCGAUUGAAUGAGCCGAUGUCGGAUUAGCUAGUUGGCGGGGUAAAGGCCCACCAAGGCGACGAUCCGUAGCUGGUCUGAGAGGAUGAUCAGCCACACUGGAACUGAGACACGGUCCAGACUCCUACGGGAGGCAGCAGUGGGGAAUAUUGGACAAUGGGCGCAAGCCUGAUCCAGCCAUACCGCGUGGGUGAAGAAGGCCUUCGGGUUGGAAAGCCCUUUUGUUGGGAAAGAAAAGCAGCAGGUUAAGACCCCGCUGUUCUGACGGUACCCAAAGAAUAAGCACCGGCUAACUUCGUG